rnacentral:lncRNA from 1 species
CCUCUACUUAAGAAAACAAGUAUGCAGUAUCAGAAAACAUUUAGAUCCACCUGGAUAUGUUCAAAGUACACACAGUGUAACAGAUAUUACACUUGUAUGACAAAUAAACCUAGGUUUUCGUUUCUCUCCCUUUAUUGAAUUUUCUUUAAGAAAAAUAAUAAUAUGAAUGGCUUUGUGUAUAUGUAAAUGUUAAUGCAGAUAUUGGAGAACAAACUACAGAUUUAUAUCUUCUCCACCAAUUUGUGUCAAAUGCUUCCUAAUUUAAUCCUUGCAUGCCUCCCCACCCUUCCAAAAAAUAAUACUGUUUUGAUAGUUAGAUUCUAGAUGGGAGACACAAGUACCGGCAACAAAAUCCCACUGUGUA